rnacentral:lncRNA from 1 species
GCUUGCAGGCCUCGCCGGGCGGACAUUAAACUGGUGUCUUAGCAGGUUUUUGUCUGUUUUGUUGCUUCCCUCUCACAGGAGUUGGUUUCUGGCUGUAAAUUCAGUUUCUGGAAAUCUCUGGAACGUUAGCGAUGUACAAGGUAGUCUCGAGCUGCUUUCUCGCCAUUGAUUCCCAGCCAGUGUCAGUCCUUGCAUCGUUACCCACUCGAGGCUACCCGUGACAGCUAAUGGCAUCUAAGGAUUUGGAAAGGCUUAUAUUACGGACUUUUAAAGCGCUUAAUUUGAGCUUUACCCUUUAUUUUUGUCAGGAUAUUGGCACUCUGCAUUCUGCGGUGUGGCUUUGCACAGAACCGUUUGUUGAGGGUUUGAACGCUGCCAGGGGAAAACUCCGCCCCUUUCCCACGUUGGCUGUGUCUGAUCCAAACCCAUUUUUAAGUAGCUGGACAGUACUUUACCCUGGUACAUGGGCUUUGUUUUUAUUUUAGUUGUAUCGUGAGGACUAUGAACUUGUAUUGCAGAAAGUAUUAGUGUCCACCUUUAAAUAUACAUAACACUUUCGGCUGAAAGACAGUUUCCCAAAGCUCCCGAGUUUCCCAGGAAUGUCUUCAGCUUUUGGUAGAUGCUUUUAGGAAUUUCAGAGGUCCUUGCUGUCAAAGAUUUAAAUAAAGUCAAACAUAAAAAAGUAACAAAACAUGCACGCUCGCACACACACUCACAAACACAC